CUGGCUCAGAUUGAACGCUGGCGGCAGGCCUAACACAUGCAAGUCGAGCGGAUGACGGGAGCUUGCUCCUUGAUUCAGCGGCGGACGGGUGAGUAAUGCCUAGGAAUCUGCCUGGUAGUGGGGGACAACGUUUCGAAAGGAACGCUAAUACCGCAUACGUCCUACGGGAGAAAGCAGGGGACCUUCGGGCCUUGCGCUAUCAGAUGAGCCUAGGUCGGAUUAGCUAGUUGGUGGGGUAAUGGCUCACCAAGGCGACGAUCCGUAACUGGUCUGAGAGGAUGAUCAGUCACACUGGAACUGAGACACGGUCCAGACUCCUACGGGAGGCAGCAGUGGGGAAUAUUGGACAAUGGGCGAAAGCCUGAUCCAGCCAUGCCGCGUGUGUGAAGAAGGUCUUCGGAUUGUAAAGCACUUUAAGUUGGGAGGAAGGGC
rnacentral:rRNA from 1 species